GCAGCAGCUCGGCGUGUCGUCGCUGGGCCGCAGUCAGAAUGGUACGAGCACAGAAACAUCUCCAGAUCAGGACACACACAUCAGUGUGUGUGUGUGUGUGUGUGUGUUAUUCUGUGUGUGUUUGUAGGGAGCGAGGCGUGUGAGGAGAUCGUGAGUAAGAGACCCAGACUGACCGAAGCAAACGGACACGAGUCGCAGCACAAACACACAUCUGAGCAGAUGUAUUACUUGGACGCCUCCAAAGAGGGAAACGUGGCGCGAUUCUUCAACCACAGCUGUGAGCCGAACCUCUUCCUGCAGAACGUCUUCACGGACACACACGACCCACAGUUCCCGAUCAUCGCCUUCUUCACCAGCAGGUGUGUUAAAGCUGGAUCUGAACUGACCUGGAACACGUGAGAGAAACCACCACGACGCUUCAUACUGUAAUGACUGUCCAGAGUUAAGUGUUCGGGAAUUUGUAUAUUCAAUUUUGCCUGA